UCUCUGGUGGCUCAGAUGGUAAAGAAUCUGCCUGCAGUGCAGGAGACCCAGGUUUGAUCCCUGGGUUGAGAA
rnacentral:tRNA from 1 species